AUUCUUUGUCAUUGUAAUCUUUUACUUCAUUCCAUAUUUCACUUCAUUCAUUCGCCUAAUAUUCGGUUCAGCUUCGGUCAUUUUGUGUUUGACUUUCGUCGUCGCAACUGUUCAACAAUGGCAGACGGUGCUUCAACCAUUGCUGUUUUUGCGGUGGUUAUGGUUCGUCUGGGGGCGAUACAGGCCAUGGUGCCUCAACGUGGCCGUGGACGCGGUCAUGAACGAGGCCGUGGUCGCGGGAAGGCAGAUCAGAAAGAUUGUGAUCUAGAUAUCUGACAAAACCGCCCGGCUCUAAAAGUCAAAAACGAUAAACUCGAGAGCAUUAACUUGUUUUCUCUGCCCGUCAAAGAGUUUGAAUGACGAGGUUUUGAAGUUCGGGCCUGUACAGAAAUAGACGCCUUUGUAGCUAUUGGUGACAACAAUGGUCACAUUGGAUUCAGUUACAGUGCAGAAAAUAAGUUUUUUCUAUCCGUGGAGCUAUUAUUCCGGCGGCUAAACCGUCCGUAUUGCGUAUGCGCAGAUGCUACCAAGUAACAAGAUUGGCAAGCCCCAUACAGUACCUGCAAGGUUACUGGCAAGUGCGGUUCUGUCACCGUGAUGCUUAAUCAUGCACGAGUCCGUAUUGCGUAUGCGCAGAUGCUACCAAGUAACAAGAUUGGCAAGCCCCAUACAGUACCUGCAAGGUUACUGGCAAGUGCGGUUCUGUCACCGUGAUGCUUAAUCAUGCACGAGUCCGUAUUGCGUAUGCGCAGAUGCUACCAAGUAACAAGAUUGGCAAGCCCCAUACAGUACCUGCAAGGUUACUGGCAAGUGCGGUUCUGUCACCGUGAUGCUUAAUCAGGCACAAGUCCGUAUUGCGUAUGCGCAGAUGCUACCAAGUAACAAGAUUGGCAAGCCCCAUACAGUACCUGCAAGGUUACUGGCAAGUGCGGUUCUGUCACCGUGAUGCUUAAUCAUGCACGAGUCCGUAUUGCGUAUGCGCAGAUGCUACCAAGUAACAAGAUUGGCAAGCCCCAUACAGUACCUGCAAGGUUACUGGCAAGUGCGGUUCUGUCACCGUGAUGCUUAAUCAUGCACGAGUCCGUAUUGUGUAUGCGCAGAUGCUACCAAGUAACAAGAUUGGCAAGCCCCAUACAGUACCUGCAAGGUUACUGCAAGUGCGGUUCUGUCACCGUGAUGCUUAAUCAUGCAUGAUUCUACAUGAUUAGCAGCAUUAGCUAGCAGAUAGCUAGUGUCCAGAAUUGCUACACAUCUACCCGUGGUUCCACUGGCAUGCUCGGCAACUCCGCCAAUGCUAUUGCCAAGAUGUGCCUGCCUAACUGCGGACCUGUGGCUUGAUAUCCCUUUGACAUAGAGUAGGGGGACUUACUCUGAGUUCAAGGUUUAAGUCUUUCUGAAUAACUGAAAUAAAACAAUUCUAUUUA